GACGAACGCUGGCGGCGUGCUUAACACAUGCAAGUCGAACGGAAAGGCCCUGCUUUUGUGGGGUGCUCGAGUGGCGAACGGGUGAGUAACACGUGAGUAACCUGCCCUUGACUUUGGGAUAACUUCAGGAAACUGGGGCUAAUACCGGAUAGGAGCUCCUGCUGCAUGGUGGGGGUUGGAAAGUUUCGGCGGUUGGGGAUGGACUCGCGGUUUAUCAGCUUGUUGGUGGGGUAGUGGCUUACCAAGGCUUUGACGGGUAGCCGGCCUGAGAGGGUGACCGGCCACAUUGGGACUGAGAGACGGCCCAGACUCCUACGGGAGGCAGCAGUGGGGAGUAUUACACAAUGGGCGGACGCCUGAUGCAGCAACGCCGCGUGCGGGAUGCCGGCCUUCGGGGUGUAAACCGCUUUCGACUGUGACGAAGAGUGCGUGACGGUAAUGGGUAAAGAAGCACCGGCUAACUACGUG
rnacentral:rRNA from 1 species